GCGGGUGUAGCUUAGUGGUAAAGUCCUAGCCUUCCAAGCUAGUCACGCGGGUUCGAUUCCCGCCACCCGCU
rfam:Omnitrophica bacterium RIFCSPLOWO2_12_FTLL_50_11 rifcsplowo2_12_scaffold_4748, whole genome shotgun sequence.